GACGAACGCUGGCGGCGUGCUUAACACAUGCAAGUCGAACGGAAAGGCCCUGCUUUUGUGGGUUGCUCGAGUGGCGAACGUGUGAGUAACACGUGAGUAACCUGCCCUUGACUUUGGGAUAACUUCAGGAAACUGGGGCUAAUACCGGAUAGGAGCUCCUGCUGCAUGGUGGGGGUUGGAAAGUUUCGGCGGUUGGGGAUGGACUCGCGGCUUAUCAGAUUGGUGGUGGGGUAGUGGCUUACCAAGGCUUUGACGGGUAGCAGGCCUGAGAGGGUGACCGGCCACAUUGGGACUGAGAUACGGCCCAGACUCCUAUGGGAGGCAGAAGUGGGGAAGAUUGUACAACGGGCGGAAGCCUGAUGCAGCAACGCCGCGUGCGGGAUGACGGCCUUUGGGUUGUAAACCGCUUUCGCCUGUGACGAAGCGUGAGUGACGGUAAUGGGUAAAGAAGCACCGGCUAACUACGUG
rnacentral:rRNA from 1 species